GGCAUGGUGGCUCAGUGGUUAGAGCGCCCGACUCAUUAAAGGGAGGUCUUGGGUUGGAACCCCGGCCGUGUCA
rnacentral:tRNA from 1 species